AGACACUAACAGUGACACCAGCAGGAGCGCAGACUUCCCAAGCAGCCCAUGUCUCAGGGCCAGGGAAGCACACCCACAAGACCAGAAUGCCAAGCAGGGAGACUCAGGGUCCCCACGCCUCUGCCCGUGUGACCCUGCCAUGGGCUGCAGCCUCCACUGUGGUGUGGUCCAUUGUCUCAGGCUCCAUGGAUACUGGAAUUACCCAGACACCAAAAUACCUGGUCACAGCAAUGAGGAGUAAAAGGACGAUGAAACGUGAGCAUCUGGGACAUGAUUCUAUAUACUGCUACAGACAGAAAGCUAAGAAAUCCCUGGAGUUCAUGUUUCACUACAACUAUAAGGAACUCAUUCAAAACGAGACUGUGCCAACACAGUGUCACACCUGAAUGCCAACAGCUCUUGUGUACACCUUCAUGUGGUCAUGCUGCAGCUAGAAGACUCAGCUGUGAAUCUCUGUUUCAGCAGCCAAGGCACAACCCUGCAGAGUCAUCGCCUCCCUAUGCACAAACCUCCUGGGUCUAGUGAAGAACCCGUGGGGGCAACAUGUCCAGCUGAGCCUCAACACUCAGUUGAGCAUCACGGAGGGCCUCGGCAGAAAUCUCAGACUAUAAUACUGUCAUUUAUUGGAUGUGACAAUUGCCCAGACACCUGCAGCCCACGUCCUGACUUUGUCUUGAAUGAGACUGUGCCUGAACUUGAAUGCAGGACAGAUGCUGUCAAGUUUAAGUUUUUCCAAGUAUCUUCCAGUUCGUUUGUGCCUCAGGAAAUCUUGUGUGUAGCAUUUAACACUCUGGCCACACCAAUCUGCCUUCCAAUAUGAACCUUUUUUAUUUAUCUUUCCACCCAAGUUAGACCCUGGAUCUCACCCCUCAUCCCAGCUCAAAAUCUGCUCAGACCUUUUCUUUUGUUUUUUGUUUGCUUGUUUGUUUUUAGAUGAAGUCUCACUCUGUCACCAGGCUGGAGUAGUGCAGUGGCGUGAUCUCGGUUCACUGCCACCUCCACCUCCCAGGUUCAAGCAAUUCUCCUGCCUCAGCCUUCCGGGUAGCUGGAAUGACAGGCGCCUGCCACCACAACCAGCUAAUUUUUGUAUUUUUAGUAGAGACGUGGUUUUGCCAUGUUGGCCAGGAUGGUCUCAAGCUCUUAACUCCUUGAUUUGCCCCCGUCGGGCUCCCAAAGUGCUGGGAUUACAGGCGUGAACCACCGCACCCGGCAGCUCCUUUUUCUUUUUUUUUUAAAUAAAGAAUACCCAAUGCCCUCCUCAGGUGGCUGUAUCAUGCCUGACCCUGAGGACAGUGGUUCCCCAUGGGGUUUGCAUCAUUGUUCUCUAGUUCACUCUCCCUGGGGCAUGUGCAGAGUUUCAACUUCUUGUUGGCUUCUCUCUUCCACUCAGGAUUUAAAACUUUCAAACUUGAUUGUUUUUCCUUCUGUCUCUUUAAUCCUAAUACCAAGUUUUCGCGGCAUCCAUU
rnacentral:lncRNA from 1 species